GCCAGGAAAAGUGUAAGUCCAGGCCUCACCUCUGCUCUUCAUCAAAAGGUCUCUACUCUACUUAAUGGUCCGCAUUAAGAAGUCUUUAAAUUUCCCAUCAUCAAUGCUAGUUGACUGAGAGCCGGGAAGAUAUCGGCCAUUCUGCUGAGGGAGCCCACCACCAGGCAGUGAAAUAUCUACAAAUCUGUACUUGGAACUUCUGUGUGUAUUCGCACACAUGUGUGAGACUUCGGAAGCUGCGGUACCAUGGUGAAACAAGACAGCUCAUCAUAACCUGAACAGUUCUGACGGCCUAAGUUUGCAGGCUAAAUUCCUCUUCAAGUAUUACUACCCUCGCUUAACAAAAGUCCUAAAUUAAGGAAUUCACAAA